rnacentral:rRNA from 1 species
ACGGAGAGUUUGAUCCUGGCUCAGAACUAACGCUGGCGGCGCGUCUUAAACAUGCAAGUCAAACGGGUAGCAAUACCAGUGGCGAACGGGUGAGUAAUACAUGGAUAACCUACCUAGAAGUUGGGGAUAACACAGAGAAAUUUGUGCUAAUACCGAAUGUGACGGUUCCUGGUAGCAGGGAUUGGUUAAAGCAGCAAUGCGCUUUUAGAUGGGUCCAUGGCUGAUUAGCUAGUUGGUGGGGUAAAGGCCUACCAAGGCGACGAUCAGUAGCCGGCCUGAGAGGGUGAACGGCCACAAUGGAACUGAGACACGGUCCAUACUCCUACGGGAGGCAGCAGUU